rnacentral:rRNA from 1 species
AUGCUUGUUUCACGUGCCCAGCUAGAGGAGUUGAUCCUUAAAGAGAAGAAGAAGGGUGUGGGCUCCAGCAGCGGCAACAAGAAUGACGACCAGGACGGGCGUGGCGGUGGCCGCGGCCAGGACGGCAAGAAGAAGGAACGGCGUGGCAAGUUUGACAAGUCGAGGAUCACCUGCUUCCAGUGUAGCGAGAAGGGCCAUUUCGCCUCUGAGUGCGAGGAGCCGAAGAAAGAAAAGGCGCUGCUCGCCGACGCCGGCGACGACGAACCAGCACUACUGAUGGCUAUGGCAUGUGAGCACGGGCCAAUGGUGGAGCACGCCAAGGUCGAGCCCAAAGAGAAGCAGGCUGAGAUCACUCUUUUUGGUGCAUCCAUGGAGGAGUUGGAAGCUGCCAAGGCCGAGGCAGAGAGGCUGCGUGGGGAGCUGGCUGCAGCCGAAGCAAACUCGACGAGGAAGGGUGCAAAUCAGUUCUACGCCGUGGGUUUCUGA